AACAAUAUGGCUCUCCUCAAGAACUUGGCCGCGUACCUGUGCGUGAUCCUGGCCUCGCUCGCCUUCGUGGCGCAGGGCGCGCUCGCAGCCAGAGCAGGUGCUUUAAGCAACGUGAGGGGGUACACGGUUAAGGACCCGCGCGGUGGUGGUGGUUAUGGGAAUGGGUAUCCUCCAUGAUAGGCCGGAGAUGAUGACACUUGGACCACGGAAAUACUACAAAUAAGUCCGCGUACCAUGAAUAAAUUUGCACACGUUGCCGAUA